GGGGAAUUUUCCGCAAUGGGCGAAAGCCUGACGGAGCAAUACCGCGUGAGGGAGGAAGGCUCUUGNGGUUGUAAACCUCUUUUCUCAGGGAAUAAGAACUGAAGGUACCUGAGGAAUCAGCAUCGGCUAACUCCGUGCCAGCAGCCGCGGUAAUACGGAGGAUGCAAGCGUUAUCCGGAAUGAUUGGGCGUAAAGCGUCCGCAGGUGGUUUAUCAAGUCUGCUGUCAAAGAGUUUGGCUCAACCAAAUAAAGGCAGUGGAAACUGACAGACUGGAGUGCGGUAAGGGCAGAGGGAAUUCCUGGUGUAGCGGUGAAAUGCGUAGAGAUCAGGAAGAACACCGGUGGCGAAAGCGCUCUGCUGGGCCGUAACUGACACUGAGGGACGAAAGCUAGGGGAGCGAAUGGGAUUAGAUACCCCANUANUCA
rnacentral:rRNA from 1 species